rnacentral:rRNA from 1 species
UGGGGAAUCUUGCGCAAUGGGCGAAAGCCUGACGCAGCGACGCCGCGUGAGUGAUGAAGGCCUUCGGGUUGUAAAGCUCUGUGGGGAGAGAAGAAUAAGUCGUAGUGAAUAUCUACGAUGAUGACGGUAUCUCCUUAGCAAGCACCGGCUAACUCUGUGCCAGCAGCCGCGGUAAGACAGAGGGUGCAAACGUUGUUCGGAAUUACUGGGCGUAAAGCGCGUGUAGGCGGCUCUGAUAAGUGAGGUGUGAAAGCCCUGGGCUCAACCCAGGAAGUGCACUUCAAACUAUCGAGCUUGAAUGCUGGAGAGGAAAGCGGAAUUCUCGGUGUAGAGGUGAAAUUCGUAGAUAUCGAGAGGAACACCCGUGGCGAAGGCGGCUUUCUGGACAGCGAUUGACGCUGAGACGCGAAAGCGUGGGGAGCAAACA